rnacentral:rRNA from 1 species
CACGGAGGAUGCGAGCGUUAUCCGGAUUUAUUGGGUUUAAAGGGUGCGUAGGCGGACUGUCAAGUCAGCGGUAAAAUUGAGAGGCUCAACCUCUUCCCGCCGUUGAAACUGGUGGUCUUGAGUGGAUGAGAAGUACGCGGAAUGCGUGGUGUAGCGGUGAAAUGCAUAGAUAUCACGCAGAACUCCGAUUGCGAAGGCAGCGUACCGGCAUCCAACUGACGCUGAGGCACGAAAGCGUGGGGAUCGAACAGG